rnacentral:rRNA from 1 species
UACGUAGGGUGCGAGCGUUGUCCGGAAUUACUAGGCGUAAAGAGCUCGUAGGUGGUUUGUCGCGUUGUCCGUGAAAACUCACAGCUUAACUGUGGGCGUGCGGGCGAUACGGGCAGACUGGAGUACUGCAGGGGAGACUGGAAUUCCUGGUGUAGCGGUGGAAUGCGCAGAUAUCAGGAGGAACACCGGUGGCGAAGGCGGGUCUCUGGGCAGUAACUGACGCUGAGGAGCGAAAGCGUGGGGGAGCAACAGG